rnacentral:rRNA from 1 species
AUUGAACGCUGGCGGCAGGCUUAACACAUGCAAGUCGAGCUAGCGGCGGACGGGUGAGUAAUGUCUGGGAAACUGCCUGAUGGAGGGGGAUAACUACUGGAAACGGUAGCUAAUACCGCAUACCAUCAGAUGUGCCCAGAUGGGAUUAUCUAGUAGGUGGGGUAAUGGCUCACCUAGGCCACGAUCCCUAGCUGGUCUGAGAGGAAGACCAGCCAACCUGAAAGUGAGACACGGUCCAGACUCCUAAGGGAGGCAGCAGUGGGGAAUAUUGCACAAUGGGCGAAAGCCUGAGGCAGCCAUGCCGAGGGUGUGAAGAAGGCCUUCGGGUUGUAAAGCACUUUCAGCGAGGAGGCGUUACUCGCAGAAGAAGCACCGGAUAACUCCGUGCCAGCAGCCGCGGUAAUUC